rnacentral:lncRNA from 10 species
UAAAGUAUAAACUCAAAAUUUUAUUGAGCCUCUUGAAGCUCACUUUGGAAUAAACGUUAAUACAUUGUAGGAGGGACCAAGAUGACUCAGCAGAAACAGCUCUGGUGUGCAGCCCCCAGCAAGGCCAAUGCAGAAGGAAACCACAAUCUCACUGAAAAUAUACACUAUUCAGGUUCUUGACUGUCAGCAAAAUCAUUCACCACUGAUGUGUAGAGCAGUUGUGCUGCAGCCUGAUUCUUCAGCAGAGACUUUCCUUGCUCUAGUCUCCACUCAAAACAGACAGCCUUACAGUGACUCUGUAGAUGGGUCAAUGUAAAACACUCAAAUAUGGUCUAUGCUGCUUCCAAAAUCCAAAAUAUUUGCCUAUGUCUUUAUGGCAACAUUGUAAAUAGAUACUUCUGGUGCUAACAUGGAAGCUGUCUGAUUUUCCAGUCAUGAACUGAAGUGCAAGUUAAUGGAGCUGAGCUUGUCAUUUUCCCUCUAGACAUACAUAUGCAAACUUAAAAGAAUCCAAUACACAUAACUGUCCUUACAGUCAUUAUUACUGCCCUCAGGGUCAGGUCCAGUAGCCAUCUAAGUGUCCAAUGCAAGUGCUCCAUUGGCAUUUUAUUACAAUAAACCAUGAGUGAUAUCUUGAUUAAUUGUGAUGCCACUGCACGCCAUGAAUUACUAGUAUCCCAUUUCCCAUUGAAAAGGAGCUAACCAUCAUGCUUAAUCCUGAAGCCAUGACCAAAACAAUCUCUAAACUGCAUCUUUCUGGACAAGCAAUAUGAAAUUCUCACACCAGUUAGAAUGGCAAUCAUUAAAAAGUCAGGAAACAACAGGUGCUGGAGAGGAUGUGGAGAAAUAG